GGUCAGCAGCGCUAGAAAUGGAGAUGGCUCUCAAAAACAGGUGGGCGUUUAAGCGAUAAGCCAUUUCACAUGCCUGGGUUAACGUGAAGCUUUGCAUGCUCCCGCCGGCGCAAGCUUUUGGGGCUCUGUUCAUAUUUUUCAAUCCACACAACUGAGAAGCUGCGGUAGUUCUUCUUCCGGAUUAUUUUAGGCUCUAAUUUACAAACAGAAUCAAGAGAAGCAAUUAAAUGUUAAAGUGCUAUCAGCAUGUUCUCCUCAAGUGGCACCAACACUGCCACGCAUGCCUGCACACGACAGGAACUGAAGGAGUCCAAUCUUGACACAGGCGACUGGCUUACAAAUUGAAAUGCCGUUUCAUUACCAUUACUCUUAGGCUUUGUGUUGCAGAAAGUCGUAACAGACGCCGUUAUAGGUGCCUUGUAGGCAACACUACAUGGGGACGUGGGGCGGGCAGGGACUGAAUCAGUUGCAGACCUGUAGAAACACCCUUGAGACGAAGGUAGAGUUGUGCCGGAUUAUCAAUCAUAUUAAAUUGCCUUUGUACUUGCAAGUAUUUCGUUCCUGAAAUCAAAAGACGAAGGCUUCUUAAUUGAAGACCACACUCCUCAACACACCUGCAGACAUGCCGCCCCCUUCACAGUUAAACCAAAGAACAACAAUAUAUUCGAUUUCACAAUCUACUUUUUGCCUCAGAGAGGCCUCUUUCUUCUAAAGAAAGAAAAACAGCUAGAACCUUGCUUUCCUCUGGGUAAAAUAGACAUCCUUUCAAAAAAAACGCUACUAAAAAGGAGGGGGAACCCCCUAACACAAAGCCCAGCUGUAUAAACAACUGUCAACAAGGAAAACAUGAGGUGUCAAACAGACACAGUAUGCCAUCGCAUCAGAGGCAACCUUUCAAAAUGACAAGCAGCCACCCAAAAUGGGGGAUAUGUGUGGCACUACACAGAGCAAAAAGACCCAGAGGGGCUGCACGUAAACACAAAACGACAACCCGUGGUUUAGCGUUACGAGGGUUUGUUGCAGUGAGCCUUAAGCUUACAUACAACUUACUCUUCUGCUGCCCACAACCAUUAGGAGGACUUCAGAACAGCAGACUGAGAGUGCUUCAAGCUGUCACCGUUUCACAGGAAGGAUUCAAGCAGCACACACCAGAAUAUAAAGUUCACAUGAUUUAAGUGGGUUAAGGCAAAAUUCUGGGCAGCGGAUCCAUUUGGGGUUUGAGGUUUCAGAAGUAAUGGUGAAAGGUCCUGGAAAUUGCGGGGAACCCGUGAAACAAUUAACAGGAAAGCCCUGCAAUUCUCAUCUUAAUAUAACAACCCUGUAAAUUAAUCAGAGCAAAUGCUCAAUAAAGACCAGGCAUAGUUUAACCAGUGUAUAGCUUUGCGCAAGCAAAUCAAGAUUGGUGCUGAAUAAAUAUGUCAUCUGGAGAAGCUGUAGCUGUAGCUUGUUGUGAUUUCCGGGCAAAUUAUGGUUGGUAUUAACUAUGAUGAAUGGAAACAAGCAAACUUGAAACUACAGGUUAUGCAGCUGGUUUGUUUUCACUAACCGUACUUAAGAUUAAGUCACAAUGUAGAGUUUGGACAACAUACUAAACUGCUGCUAUUUUAAAACAGAAGCAAAAGCUUCUGACUGCCCUCACAACUCCAGAAGAAGUGGGAGCCUGAGAGCCCAAAGCUUAUUGCAGCUCAUCGCUGUAACACUAAAGUAUGGUUAAGCAUUGUGCUUGCUGCUGAGUCUGUAUUGCUAUUAGCCUGGGAAAAGUUAUCUUCCUUUCUUAAAAGUAAGAGCUGCUAUCAUUGUGUUUUGGGAUGGGAUCACAGCAGUGCACCAUCUUUCAGCAUGUGUGGGAAUCAUAUGAAACCCUCCUCUCCCUUACAUAACUAUGUGGAAUUGUAGGCAGUAAUAUGGGGCUUUACUUUCUGUGAGGUUUUUUUGUAUUUCGUAGGAUGAAUAGUAAGAAUGGGUGGAUACCAACUGCAAAUAAGAUUAAUAGACAAUCUUGGCAGUUUCAUUGUUUUCUGCUUUUGUUUACUAAAUGCAAGUAAAGUAAAAUUAAUAGACAACCUCAGCAGUUUCAUUGUUUUCUGCUUUUGUUUACUAAAUACAAGUAAAGUAAACCUGCUCAAUUAAAUCACUUGCUGUCUAGUGCAUCAGGAAAUUUCCUGAUGCAAACUACCCUAUGCAAAUUUUCAAAAAAUUAUCCAGAAAACCCACAUCACUGUUUGUAGGGGCCAGGUGCUUUUGCCAAUACUAUCUUGGAUUUCUGUUUCCAACAAAUCCAACCUGCGGUGCAAUCCUGUGCAAAUAAGCUUCACUGAGAAAAAUGGGGCUUUACUCCCAGGUAAGUGUGCAUAGGAUUAUGUUAUUAAAUAGAGAACAUGUCAAAGGCAAAGCUAUGAAAAUUCACUUCUGUAAGGAUGGUAGGCUUAUUUGGGGCUUCUAAAAUUUAAAAGGCUCAAAAUACUUAGUCAUUUUUAACACGUGGAAAGUUAUGGAUUUUUUUGGUCCUGCAUUUAACACAAAACAAUUUUUUCCCCAACCGCAUGCCCCAGAUGACAAAAGCACCAAAGAACAAAUAGGAUUACACAUCUUGCAACCAGGUUUUCACAAAGGUAACAGCGCAUUUAUUCACAGUAAACAAAAGAGGAACACUUCUUCCCUGCAUAAACAAUGUAGUAAGAAACAAUUCCAAGACAAAUCACAGUUUCUGAAAGCGCUGUCACUGAGCUCGCACACUUAACACUUACUUAAAUAGUUAAAGAAUCACAAAAGGUGUUGCAGUGGAAUAUAAACAGACAUACAUAACCCAUAUAAUCUGAUGUAAGACCCUUGGGCACUGAAGAAAAAUAAACAACUAAUUUUAGAAUCACGAGGACUCCAUAGAAUAUGAUGCAAUGCCUAUCAACAGGUAUGUUCAGGUUAUCGUUUCAAAAGCUGCAGUUGGAAUUUUUAAGAACCAAGCUCCCCAGCUAGGGGCUCUUUCUAUCGUUUUCAUUUUUAAUCGAGAACUAACACACAGAAUAUGCCCUUUCACCAUAUGAACAGAGGCAAUCUUCAGGAGUUUGUGAAUCUUGACAAGACUCCCGCUACAGGUCUUGUUUGCUUUGCUUUGCUUUGCUUUGCUUUGCUCUGCAAACUUUCAGAGGAUCUGAAAAAAUACAGCUUGAUAGCCCCAUUGUAGAUGUUAACAAAUAAUAUUUCUAUCCCAACUUCCGGGGUUGCAUCCAAUAUCAGUCACACUCAAGAGCAGUAGACUACUGAAAUUAACAGGCAUGACUAACUUAGGUCCAUUCAUUUCAGCUGGUGUUGGACACAACCCCUCAGUCUUUAAGAAAAACAGUGAGGAGGCCUAUUUGAGAAGACUCCUCACAUAACAAAGAAGAUCAGGGUUCUGCGCUGUGUAUAGGGUUGCCAGACCUCCAGGUACGACUUCCAGUCUCUGGGUUUACCUGGCUCCUUCCAGGUGGCAUGUGGAGGGCUUGAAACUGCUCUCUCCCCGCUCCCAAUUAACCUCAGUAUCCAGGGCCUGCCCCAGGGUCACCCCUGGGUCUCAGGUUUGGGGCCUGAAAUCUCUCUCUUUUUUUUUUAAUGAUAUUUAUUGAAAAUUUUUUAGAAUUACAAAAGAAAACAAGGUAG